GAUGAACGCUGGCGGCGUGCCUAAUACAUGCAAGUCGAGCGAACAGACGAGGAGCUUGCUCCUUUGACGUUAGCGGCGGACGGGUGAGUAACACGUGGGUAACCUACCUAUAAGACUGGGAUAACUUCGGGAAACCGGAGCUACUACCGGAUAAUAUUUCGAACCGCAUGGUUCGAUAGUGAAAGAUGGCUUUGCUAUCACUUAUAGAUGGACCUGCGCCGUAUUAGCUAGUUGGUAAGGUAACGGCGUACCAAGGCAACGAUGCGUAGCCGACCUGAGAGGGUGGUCGGCCACCAUGGAAGUGAGACGCGGCCCAGAAUCCUACGGGAGGCAGCAGUAGGGAAUAUUACGCAAUGGGCGGAAGCCUGACGGAGCAGCGCCGCGGGAGUGAUGAAGGUCUUCGGAUCGUAAAACUCUGUUAUUAGGGAAGAACAAGCGUGUAAGUAACUGUGCACGUCUUGACGGUACCUAAUCAGAAAGCCACGGCUAACUACGUG
rnacentral:rRNA from 1 species